AGAGUUUGAUCCUGGCUCAGGUUGAACGCUGGCGGCGUGCCUUAGGUAUGCAAGUCGAACGGUCCGUCCCGUCGUAAGACGGGAUCAAACGGAUAGUGGCAAACGGGUGAGUAACACGUGGGAAAUCUACCCUUAACACAGGAAUAACUUGCCGAAAGGUGAGCUAAUACCUGAUGGUCUCUUUGUCUGAAAUGUCAAAGAGUAAAGCUUUUGCGGUUAAGGAUGAGCCCGCGGCCUAUCAGCUAGUUGGUGAGGUAAUGGCUCACCAAGGCGAAGACGGGUAGCUGGUCUUAGCGGAUGGACAGCCACACUGGGACUGCGACACGGCCCAGACUCCUACGGGAGGCAGCAAUCAGGAAUCUUGCGCAAUGGACGAAAGUCUGACGCAGCGACGCCGCGUGAAGGAUGAAGGCCUUCGGGUUGUAAACUUCUGUGGUAGGGGAAUAUAAUGAAGGUACCCUACUAGAAAGCCGCUGCUAACUACGUGCCAGCAGCCGCGGUAAUACGUAGGCGGCAAGCGUUAACCGGAGUUACUGGGCGUAAAGAGUUGCGUAGGCGGUAGAACAAGUCUCAAGUGAAAUAUCUCGGCUCAACUGAGGAAACGCUUAGGAAACUGUUUUACUUGAAUCAGGGAGGGGAAAGCGGAACUCUUGGUGUAGGGGUGAAAUCCGUUGAUAUCAAGAGGAACACCAAAGGCGUAGGCAGCUUUCUGGCCCUGUAUUGACGCUCAGGCACGAAAGCGUGGGGAGCGAAACGGAUUAGAUACCCGUGUAGUCCACGCUGUAAACGAUGGAUACUAGAUGUUCGUCAGUCAUUUAUGGCUGGUGAGUGUCGUAGCUAACGCGUUAAGUAUCCCGCCUGGGGAGUACGGCCGCAAGGCUAAAACUCAAAGGAAUUGACGGGGGACCGCACAAGCGGUGGAGCGCGUGGUUUAAUUGGAUAAUAAACCAAAAACCUUACCUGGGUUUGACAUGCUACUGCAAAUCCGGCGAAAGCCGGACUCCUUCGAGGGUGUAGCACAGGUGUUGCACGGCUGCCGUCAGCUCGUGUCGUGAGAUGUUAGGGUUAAGUCCCACAACGAGCGCAACCCCUAUUCUGUGUUGUAUCACUCACGGAAGACUGCCCCGGUAACGGGGAGGAAGGUGGGGAUGACGUCUAGUCAUCGUGGCCCUUAUACCCAGGGCGACACACACGCUACAAUGGUCAGGAUAAAGGGUCGCAAAGGAGCAAUCCGGAGCUAAUCUCAAAAACCUGGCCUCAGUUCAGAUUGCGGGCUGCAAUUCGCCCGCAUGAAGUUGGAAUCGCUAGUAAUCGCGGGUCAGCUAUACCGCGGUGAAUACGUUCUCGGUCCUUGUACACACCGCCCGUCAAGUAGGGAAAGUUGGGGGCACCCGAAGGUCGACGUUUGUCGGACGAAGGUGAAACCAAUGAUCAAUGCUAAGUCGUAACAAGGUA
rnacentral:rRNA from 1 species